rnacentral:rRNA from 1 species
CCAAUAGCGUAUAUUAAAGUUGUUGCAGUUAAAAAGCUCGUAGUUGAACUUCAGGCCUGGCUGGACGGUCCGCCUUCCGGGCGAGUACUGUCUGUGGUCGGGUCCUACCUUCUGGCGAAGCGGCAUGGCCUUAACCGGCCGUGGCGGGGAACCAGGACUUUUACUGCGAAAAAAUUAGAGUGUUCAAAGCAGGCAAUUCGCUUGGAUACAUUAGCAUGGAAUAAUGGAAUAGGACAAUGGUUCUAUUUGUUGGUUUCUAGGACUGUUGUAAUGAUUAAUAGGGAUAGUUGGGGGCAUUAGUAUUCAAUUGUCAGAGGUGAAAUUCUUGGAUUUAUUGAAGACUAACUACUGCGAAAGCAUUUGCCAAGGAUGUUUUCAUUAAUCAAGAACGAAAGUUAGGGGAUCGAAGACGAUCAGAUACCGUCGUAGUCUUAACCAUAAACUAUGCCGACUAGGAAUCGGGCGAUGUUGACAAAAUGACGCGCUCGGCACCUCAUG